GAUGAACGCUGGCGGCGUGCUUAACACAUGCAAGUCGAACGGAAAGGCUCCUGCUUGCAGGGGUACUCGAGUGGCGAACGGGUGAGUAACACGUGGGUGAUCUGCCCUGCACUUCGGGAUAAGCCUGGGAAACUGGGUCUAAUACCGGAUAGGACUAUGGUUUGGAUGCCAUUGUGGAAAGUUUUUCGGUGUGGGAUGAGCUCGCGGCCUAUCAGCUUGUUGGUGGGGUAAUGGCCUACCAAGGCGUCGACGGGUAGCCGGCCUGAGAGGGUGUACGGCCACAUUGGGACUGAGAUACGGCCCAGACUCCUACGGGAGGCAGCAGUGGGGAAUAUUGCACAAUGGGCGCAAGCCUGAUGCAGCGACGCCGCGUGGGGGAUGACGGCCUUCGGGUUGUAAACUCCUUUCGCUAGGGACGAAGCGCAAGUGACGGUACCUGGAGAAGAAGCACCGGCUAACUACGUG
rnacentral:rRNA from 1 species